rnacentral:lncRNA from 1 species
GAGGAGUGAGCCAGGUUUCAGGAGGGGGCACGCAGGAGACCAGCCCUGGAUUCAGACUUGAGCCUGGUCCACACCAGAGGCCGAUAGAAGGCUUGGAUUACAGCAGGGGCAGAGGGAGUCUCGCUCUGUUGCCCAGGCUGGAGUGCAGUGGCGAGAUCUCAGCUCACUGCAAGCUCCGUCUCCCGGGUUCACGCCAUUCUCCUGCCUCAGCCUGCCGAGUAGCUGGGACAACAGGCGCCAGCCACCAUGCCCAGGCAUACAAAACCUGCCUUGCCUCUCCCCAGUUUGAACAGUGCUUUUGAACUUUGAUGGAAAAGCCACAUUUGGAAGCUGCAGCAUCCUCGGGAGACAGCUGGAUCAGCCAGAGAGCUUCAGAAAGACACACAUCACUCUGCCAGACACACACACUGCUCCAGCUCCAGCAUCCAACAUCUGACCACAUGUCGGCAGCCACUGCUGACCUGGCUCCACCAUUUCUCCCCAGGUCUAAGCUUAAGCCGCACUGCAUUGCUUCCAUUUCUUCAUGCUUGCUCUGUUCCCUUCUACCACAGGGGCUUUGUGCAAGCUCAGCCUCAACAUGGAUCUUCCCCCUUCUUCACCUGGUCAACAGCCACUCAUUCUUCAACCUUAGUUCGAGCAUCAUCAACCUCCCCCGCUAUGUCAGUUCUCCCUGUUAGACACCCUGGCUGUUCCACAUAUCUUUUAUUCAAAGUAGUUACAUAUUAAAGCAUUCCAUUUGUGCAUACAAUUAUUGUAGAAUUACUUCCCAGCAGACAGAUGCUAUAGGAGGGAAGAGACCUUUUCUGCUUAAGUAUCUAGUGCAGUGCCUGGCCCUUAAUAGGUGCUCAACAAAAAUUUUUAAAUGAAUGCUUAAAUACCAUAUCAUGGGUCAUGUCUGGUUGCAAAAAGAUAUUCAUCAUAAUAAAAAUAAUAAAC